AACGAACGCUGGCGGCAUGCCUAACACAUGCAAGUCGAACGAGACCUUCGGGUCUAGUGGCGCACGGGUGCGUAACGCGUGGGAACCUGCCCUUAGGUUCGGAAUAACUCCCCGAAAGGGGUGCUAAUACCGGAUAAUGUCUUCGGACCAAAGAUUUAUCGCCUUUGGAUGGGCCCGCGUUGGAUUAGCUAGUUGGUAGGGUAAAAGCCUACCAAGGCGACGAUCCAUAGCUGGUCUGAGAGGAUGAUCAGCCACAAUGGAACUGAGACACGGCCCAGACUCCUACGGGAGGCAGCAGUGGGGAAUAUUGGACAAUGGGCGAAAGCCUGAUCCAGCAAUGCCGCGUGAGUGAUGAAGGCCUUAGGGUUGUAAAGCUCUUUUACCCGGGAUGAUAAUGACAGUACCGAGAGAAUAAGCUCCGGCUAACUCCGUG
rnacentral:rRNA from 1 species